UACGAAGGGGCUAGCGUUGUUCGGAAUUACUGGGCGUAAAGGGCGCGUAGGCGGUCCUGAUCGUCGGAUGUGAAAGGCCUGGGCUCAACCUGGGAAUGGCAUCCGAUACGGCGGGACUGGAGUGUGGGAGAGGUUGGUGGAAUUCCCAGUGUAGAGGUGAAAUUCGUAGAUAUUGGGAAGAACACCGGUGGCGAAGGCGGCGACCUGGGUAGAUACUGACGCUGAGGUGCGAAAGCG
rnacentral:rRNA from 1 species